UGAUAUAUAAUGUCCCACGGCCUGCUGCUUUUGCCCUGUCUCAGUGGGGGUGAUGUUUGAUUUUUCCUUGCAUCUGGGGCUCCUGAGCAGGCUUCCAGAGUUCUUUUGUUACGGACUGGCAUUACCUGUGGCUGUCUGCGUGUGCAUGUGCCUCGAGAGGGAGAUGUGAAUCCAGAGCCAGGCUCUAAGGGUGGAACUGCAUCAAGGACAUAACCGAGACCCGUGAGUGCCUCGUGUCAGAGGGCGAGUGGUUAUGUUGCAUGAAAGAAUUUAUUUUACAAGGAAGUUCUGAUAGCUGAAAUUCUCAACCCUUUGCAUGGCAAAAGAGGCCUAAACACCUCAGGAUGCUGGUGGAACAGACAGCAGUGAAGUGUGUGUGUUUGGUGCUCGUGUGCUGUAGGAGCCCAGGAAACAGAGUGGCUGUGCCUCCACAAAUGUUUUCUUGUCUUGUUUAUACAGUGAGGAUCUACAAAUAGCAAUGCUUCUGCAGAGGUAAAAUAGGCAAAUAAUUUAUACAAAAUCUUCAGCUAUCUCACCUCUCCUGCCUGCGAUGGUGCGUGUUCACUUUGGAUGUGAUACUCUCCAGGCAGUGACAAUGAUUCUUGGGCUGUAGCUUGGAGACCAUUUGAGAGCUUUAAACCUGUGGAGUUUUGCUGCACUCCUGGAUCCCUCCUGUGCCUCAGUUUCCCUGCCUGUAAAACAGACUUCUCCAUCCAUGUGCAGAGAGGAUCCUCCGAAGCCACUUUGAGCUUGCAAAUAUCAAAGAUUGAAUCCUAAACAAAAUCAGAUGCCCUCCUGCCCUGUGAGAAGUAGUUCUGCUCCUUGUAGGGGAACUCUAGCAGAAGCCAGAAGAGCUUUGUGCUCAGAGUGCCCGAAGUGACAGAGGUCAUCGCUUUCUGAGUCCACAUCCUCUUUACAGCCAAAACCCAGCUUUGGUAUCUGAGCAAAAGGCCCUUAGGGUUUUAGUCUGCGUUGGAGAGUAUUGUUGCUGGGGAAGAAAUCAAAGGGACCUGGCUGCGAGUUCACUUGAAGUAAAUUUCAUAGAAUCAUAGAAUAUCCUGAGUUGGAAGGGACCCUUAAGGAUCAUCAAGUCCAACUCUUGACACCGCACAGGUCUACCCAUGAGAAAACAUGUCAGUCAUGGAACAAAUGUUUCCUGAUCUAAUUGUGCCCCAAAACAUGCAGGGAGAGGAAUUUCCCUCAUGAAUGAUGCACGUCCAGGUGACAGCAGAAGAGAAAUGGGGAGACCCCGCUCCUGCAGGCACUUACUGGCUGAACAUCGAGGUUUGCGUGCACUUCUACAAGAGCAGGAUCAUCCAGUAGGAUACCACACUCUUAAAACAGACUUCUGGGAGGAUUUAAACACCUGCAGGGCUUUCAUGUUUGCAGCAUCACUGUCAUCUUUGGCUGUUUCUGAUGAGCAGGAUAAAUGCUGCUUAUGUAUUUCAAGGAGGAAAAUGUGCUUAUCCCACUUCAAAGGGACUCCUGGCUGUGGAUGCCGAGUGGAUGGGCACGUCCCCUGGGACCUGCCGUGAGGAUGCCAACCUCCGAGGGAGUGCGUGGUGCCUCCCACUGCCCAAAUGCACAGAGCAGUCCUGAGAGCAUAAUUGGAUUUAUGUUUUGUUUUGGCCACAGGUCUGUUCAAAAUAUGUUCUCUCAUGUGUCAUAGGUUCAUGGUAACUGAAGGCUGAAUUUACUUAUAAAAACAUUUCUCAGCAUCCUAGUUGAGUAAAACAAGGACUUUGUGGCACUGUCAGCAGUAGGUAGAAACUGCUGUCUGCUUCUGUCCAUGAAAGUUUCAGUGCUAGACUGUUAUUGGACUCCUCCUGGGUAGAAAAAUGAAAAAUGCAUAUCUUAAAUAGGUGUGAAAUCCAUUAUGGAAGAAAACCAUCGGUGUUUGAGUGAUUAUUACUUUUUUGUGGGUUGAUGGAGGUUCUCUAGAAGUCAUUUAUGAGCACUAACAUCUGCUGACUGUUAUAGCACAUCUGCAGGAGACAAAUGUAAAUAACUCGUGUUUUGGUACUUGACAAAAUUCAGCAGUACAUUUCUGGUUGUAAUUGGUCUGUAUUGUUUGCCCCAGAAAGCAGUAUUAAGACUGUUGCAUACUAAAAUAUCUAGCUGGAUUGUAUGAUGCAAAUAACAUUGAAACUUUAUUUACAGCUAACUAAGCUUUGUUUUAUUUGCAUUCACAUUAAUUCCUAUUAGAGUCCAGGUUUUACAUCUUUGAGAGGUUACAAAUUCUGCUCUCUGCCAAUCUCACUUUUUGUGGAAAACCAUCAGAGCUGAUCUCUUCUGCCUUACCUCUCACUGCAAGGUCCUCCUCUCCGGCUGGUCUGCCCCUGAGCCAUCCCAAGUGAUGCUCACAGCACUGCUGCUGCCACUUCUUCAUCUGCCUUACCCCAGGAGCAAACCCUUCUGCAUCAGAUUAGCACCCAGCUUGCUCUCCCGUGUGCAUCCUCAGGCAUGCCUCCGGAAUGUAGAAAUUUUCUUUAAAAUGUAGCUAUUUUUCAGGGGUUUAAAACCUCACAAUGGGUGUCCUUAUUUAUGGGCUGAAAUAUCCCUUUUCACUUCCCAUCCAAUGCUGCUUUAUUUCACUUGUCACCUCAGUCACCAUGUGGUGCAAUUCAUGGUUGCUUUUGUGAGCAAACAGUGAUCAUGCAAUUGAAGCGCUGGACUCUAUUUGCUUUUGACACUUAUAUUUAAUCCCCUUUAAAUUCCCUCCUGUCACAGGCAGAGAAAAUCUGUCUUUUCUGGGGCUCUUUACCAGGUGAGGAGCAGGGACAGUAGAUGUUUGCUCCUCAGAAGCAUUCUCCGAAAGCUUAGCACAGUCCCAUCCGUGACUGGUUUCCAGCUUGCUAUCACAGCAUAAGCAACAACAACAUCAGUGGUGAGAUUCUUCAAGCUGAAUAAUAGAGGAGUGAAAUGAAACUGUGGAUCUCAUGAUGGCCUGAUGUGGUUUUCCUCAGUACGAGGAGCAGGGAGGCAGGCAGUGUGACUCACGGAGCUCUGUGAUGUGCCUGUAGCCUGAGCACAAGCUCACUGCAAACAUCUGUCCCUGUGGACUCCCUGAUGUUCUGCGAUCUUCCCAUCAGGAGAACAAGCCGUGGAAAAGAUGAGGUCUUCAUCUUUGUGUAGGUGCAUGGAGGUGAUAAAUGAGUUUCACCUGGAGGAUGAACACAGCGCUGAAGCUGAACUCUUCAGUUUAAACAUCAGUUUAAACACCAACGUGGCCUUCAGCUGGCCAUUUCCCGCUGAGGAUGGCUUUACUCGGAGGCAUUUUGAUCAUUACUUGUCAGAUAAGACCUUGAGUGAACUACAAACUACAAUCACUGGCAGUAGAAGACUUUGCAGCCAGUUUUGUCUUGACUCAUGCAUGUUAUCUUCAGUACUGAGUAGGUAUCUGACAAAUAAGUGAAAGCAAGAAAAAGAUCUUGUUCAUUUAGUAAAGACCUAUGUAAAUAAUACCAUACAUUAGUGUGGGGAAAAAUGCCUUUUUUCGCUCUGGAUUUACCAUAAUCUGGCAUAAAAAUAAUAUGCAAUAUAAAUGUGUUUAUACCUUAGAGUAUCUUGUUAAACCAUUUAAAGUUAACUAAUGUUUAGCUGUUCUGAAACUUUAAUUAGCAUUUAACAAGAAAGCAACAGUAUAGCCAAUUAGACAUCUAAGCAAUAACACACACAUACACUUCUAUUUUCUAGCAAUUAAUUGAUAACUAGUUUACCGUGGGCUAAUAAUUAAAUGAGAAAACAUUCUGAGCAAAUUGAAAGCACUGAUGCAAAUGAGUUCUGCAUUUAUUCUUUUCAAAUUCACUGACCACAUUAUCUAAUCUGUCGCGAACAGAGAAAUCCUGAAUUAUGCUAAAUAUAUACUCAAGCUGACUAACCAACCCUUAAAGCAACAUUUGUCACUUUUUGGAAGCUUUAAUUGCUCUGCUGAAGGAAAGUCCUAAUGCAGUGCCAAGGCUGGCAGGUUAAAUGUGGUGCCGACCACUGGUAUGAGGGCAGCUGAUGCUCUGUGCCCCGUGGAUCAGUUGCCUGGCUGGUGGAGCGACUCCUCUCUGCUGUUUUUGCUGGAGACAGCAACCCCAGGCACAAGCAGAGAAUUGUGUGUGUGUCCUUCCCAAGAAGAAAAAAAUCUCAACCAAGUCUGAAGACAAAGGGGUCACCGUUUCAGCUACACGAGUGCUGGCAGCAGACAACUUCUGUGUUCUGCCAACUGAAAAAUAAAUGAAAUGUUUGACAAAGAAGAAUAUGAGUUGGCAAAAUCACUUGGUACAUUCUGUACAUGAAAAUUGAAGACAUUUUUCUACUGAAUGCAGCAGUGAUCACUGGGAAUAGCUCCAUACAAACAGGAAGCAUCCCCAUCACUCGUAUUUGAAGUAGAGCAAUCUCCAGAACAUGGAGGAGAAAGUCUCAUUUUGUCUUCAAGCUCAUCUAUUUAUGAUAUCUUCCUCAUCUGGACUGGCAGUAAGGUGAAAUUGCCUGAGGUCUAUCAAGCUUUAAACACAAGCCAUCUGUUCAAACAAAACGCUCCCCAAAAGGUAGUGUUUCCCAAUACCACCAUUACCCCUGAGCGUGGCAGAACUGCUGUGUCAAUAUGCAGGGCAUAAGCAAGGCCUGGCUGUUUCAAUUGCUUUUCCAGCACAGUGGAACUGGAAAAUAAGGCAACACCAGGUGUUUCAAAAGACUUGAAGGAAAUGAAGCAAUGUUUUCAAUUAUUUAUUGUUUUUAUUAUUUUAAUUGUUUAUUUUAUUACUAUUUAUUUAGGCAAUUGUCUCAUCUAAAUUUGGAGGUGCUGUUUUAUUAGUGUGAAAUCAGUACCUGGGACCUCACGGCAGUACUUCAACAAGUAUUGUGUAAUAUAAUAAUUUGUGUUCAAAUUUUAAUGUACUGUGCUUUCACCCAUGAGUGCAGAUUAGCAGAUUACGAGGAAUUAGAAA